UGAUUGGUUCCCUGGGUGAAGAGGCGAUAUUUCCUCCCACUGAUAUUUUGGUCACUUUUAAUGAGGUUUUGUGACAUCAGCGCUGACCGCUCCGUAACAUCAAUUGUCUUUCUUUUUUUUUCAUUUAUAUUCUCCAUGUGGGCAGUAAUGGGUGCGUCCAUUUUACCCACUUUUUUUUGAAGUAUAAAUAGAUUCCGGCGAGUUAAAGUAAAAUUGUUAGUGCUUUUGAAAUCACUGUAUAAUCAGUGAAAUUCUGACCUCGUAAAAAUAAGUGCAAUUUUAUGUCAGAGAUAGAUACAUAUCUAGUUAAUAUUAUUCAUAUUUUGUUAAUUCACGAUUUUGUUGGUACUUGAUAUAAAUCUACCUCUUCUGUGAACUUUGAACUGUUGAACUUUCAACUUAUUCGUAAAAAAAAACUGGAAGUGAACUGUUGACCUUCAAAUUAGAAAAGAUGUCAAGCGUAACUAGUUGUUUCCCACUUCCAAUGAAGAUAUUGGUGAUACUUCAAGCACUGGCGUUGUUUCGAUGUGCCGCGAUGACAGAUGAAUUCUAUGACGAGGAACCCGAGUUCGAAUCCAAACGUCAGUGGUCACUAAGCUCAGACUGUUCCAUGUGUAUCACCUACAAUGACCCUGAAUACUGUACAAGGUGUCUGAACAGCAAGUCAUCGAUUCCUUUUCACAUGGCUAAACGAGCCUUUAUAAUGUCAAGGUCAACGAGGAAUUCUGGGUGCGGUUGCUGUUUGAUGAGCAGAUUCACCAAUAACUAUUGCUGCCAAAUCUGCAAGGCGGCCAAACGUGGCGUUUAUUGAAACAAGAUUCGAGUUAUACCAAAUUAUACUUUUACUUAGCUGUAUGCUUUAUAAAUCUAUACAUAUAAAUAGUCAAUGUUCUAUAAAUAGUUAUGCAAAUUUUUUUUCCCGACUGUCUGUGUUUUGUCUGCUUGGAUUUGCUGUAAAUGAUGUAAAUGAUGUUGACUACAUUAAAUGGUGAAGAAAAAUAGACGAUUUAACAAGCUCAGUUUUUUUAAUUAAUCUUCAACAAACGCCACGAUCUCACUUCCAGCUACAAUGGUACAUUUGCCAGCAUCGACAGGUAAACUUAGUGCGAACAGCAGGAACGGUGCAAACAGGCAAGCUGUUUUUUUUUUAAAUGGGACUAACUGUAUCCAUGACAUCGAUUUAACAACUAUAUUGUUUGGGUAUCGACAAACCAUUAGACGUUAACAGCUGUCAUUUUGAAAUUCAAACAAUUGUCAAGCGAAUACGCUUACUAAUGAUGGCGUUAGUGUGGAGUCAUAGCAGAACCUUUGUUUACGCAAGCGGCUUAAGCACCGAACUGGCUUUUUUUUUUUUCAUACGUGAUAUUGGAGAUUUUCACUAUAAACUAAAUAGGGUCAGGGACGCUAAACAGGGUCAGGGACGCUAAACAGGGUCAGGGACGCUAAACAGGGUCAGGGACGCUAAACAGGGUCAAGGACGCUUAAUUGAAAUUCAAAGUUUCCAACUAAAUAAAAGAUAAAACGGAAGUUGAACAUUGGAUUCUGCAAUGCAAAGAUUAUUAUUUAACUUAAUAAAACAUAGUGUGUCAAUACUUACUUUUAUUCUGUACACCGGAUACACCAAAGCGCUACCUAUUUAUAGUGUGUUUUUCCCGCCAUGUGUGAAAAUCUUAAAUAUUAUAUUAACAAGAAAAAAAAAUGAAUUUGAAGUAGUAAAAUAACAAUUACAUUCGAAACAUAACAUUUUUAAUAGAUUUUUAACAGGGCGUACUUCUUUUAUUAGGGUAACUCCUAACCUUUGCACAUAUUAGAACUAACGAUUGCUUUUUGGAAGGAUAAAAACAAAAGGGGUGACCUACUUAAAAUUACAACUUCUCAAGCUGUUUACACAUUAGUAAAAUAGCAUAAGAACUAUUGAUAUUGGAAAGAUUUUUUACGAUAAACUAAGCAAUGUCAAGGACGAUACAAUGAACUUCACUUCUGCUAACUGAAUUGAGCUAUAUUUUGUACAGUAGGCCUAUCUCUAUGCGUAGCAGUUGAUCUUCCCGUCACAUUUCCUUCAUUGCCGCUAGUGUUUAGUUGCCCAUUUGUUUUUAAAUAAGUUUUAUGUCACAGCGUGAAAGACUAAUACUUUUUCAUAUGUAAAGUAUUUUAGCUACAUUAGGAACAGCUUAGAAAAUUUAAUUCUGCAGUGCUAAAAACUCUAAUAUACUUUUAAAAAGAAAAUAAAUAAAAACAUUCCUAGACUGGACAUGGUGAUCUUUGAACACUACAAACAAUGUCGUGAAAAAAAAAAUUAAAAAGUUGAAAUAAGUCGUUUUUUUGUGAAGUAAUUAUAAGCAGUAAAGUUGUUUUUUUUUCAUCCUAACCUGUGUAACAUAUAAUUUCGGUCUAGAUUCAGUAAUUAAACAUCGAAAAUAAGGUCUCCGAGUUGAUCAAUCGUGGAUAAGAAUUUGUUUCCGUUUUCCAGUCUAGAUAUAAUAUAUAUAGGUCUGUGAACAUUCCUAUAGUUUGAACACCGGAUACACCAAAAAGUUAGCUAUUUAUAGUUUUUCCGCCAUGUCUGAAAAUCUCCAAUACACGCUUAGUAGGUCUAUAAUUUAUUGUUUAUUCGCUAAUGCCCAAUCCGAAGUAGUAGUAUGUCACCUCUCCGUGUGAACGCAGCUUUAAUGAUAAAUCCGGUUUGAUGAUCGGCUGACCUAUUUCACUUUAACCCAAACGAAAUGCAUUUAUUGGUUGCCAUUAUUGUAACCAUUCUUUUGAACAAUACAGUUUAAACAAUUCAA